rnacentral:misc_RNA from 1 species
AUGCAGCACUUUGAUGAAAAUUAUGCUGCGCCUCACAUUUGUCCCCACUAGCUUGAAACAAUCUGCUACUGGAGUACAUUGGAGGAGGGGCUCUGUCACUGCGAUUCCCAGCAGGCUGAUGACCCAUAUUAUCCCUUGCCAAAUGAGACAGAGUCUCAGCAUAACGUAGUGCCUCAGGUAGAGGAUCCUUUACCAUAGCACGCAGCUCCAAUGAACUCAAUUUAAGUGCUUUCUCUGCUUUCUGUAUUUCGG